rnacentral:misc_RNA from 1 species
GGUAAUUUUUUCCCCUAUCAUUCUUCUCCAGUUUUCUUCUGUACUUGAUUAUUCAUCAGGAAACACAAUUAAAGUGAAGCUGAUUGUGAUAGCAGGUUUGUUUCUUAUCAUAAAAACAUUGAAACAAAUGGUCCGAAAAUCAACUGCUUUUGGUUCAAUAAAAAUUUGAUUUUUCUAAUGGCAGCCUGUCACAGGUGCAAACAUCCUUCGCUGCAAUAUUUCCAGAUGUGAUAGUACGAAUACGGUGGUCAAACAUGUUAAGAAACCUGAAUAAAUUGCAAGAGAUGACUAAAAAAGUUAUAAUGUUCCAAAGAAAUGAAAUUGUUCAUUUAUCUACUUCAGCUAUCUACAUUUGUUAUAGGACCUUUGAACCAGUGCCUAGCACUCAAGAUCCAAGAAGAAACUGUGAGGAUGAGCAGGCCACCAACAGCAACAGGAGUGUAGUUGAGCGUCUCAUUGGUAAUGGGGUAGGCUACAGGCAAUGAAAAGAGGAUUGAGAUGGUUACUACCCAAAGGACUGCAAUCCAACCAACCAGGACACCAUAGCGACCCAAAUUGAAUGGUCCUGGGGUGAAUGACUUGCUUGCCAAGGUCACUCUGAAGAAGAUUGGCAGGGCAUAAGCAACAUACAGUCCAAUAGUGGCAAUGGAUACCAUGGCCUGAAAUGCAACUGUGCUUCCAAGAUACUUCAGAGAUUAAGAGGAAACAAAGGAUACACGAUUAGUAAAUGUGGGAAGAAGUGCCACGAUUAGAUGAAAAUGAUCAAUGCACGCAGAAACCAAAAUUGACAAGACUUGGCAACUAGGUCUAUAUUAACUCAACUCAACAGAGGUCAUGUCAUAUUGAUUAAUUACUGCAAUUAAUUCCAGUGCUAUCAUUUAUAUUCAGAGUAAAACAAAAAUGGGCAAAGAAGGCAGCCAAUAAGGAAUGUCUCAAAAAAAAAUGUACUUCAAAUAUUUUUCCAUUACCCCAGAGACUCAUAUUUUUCAUGAGUUUGCAGCAAUAGAAAACGGAAAAUUAUUUGCUGGCAAUUAGCAGAAAGCAACUCCAGAGAGGUUUUUCUAUAGCAAACAUGAUAAUUUGGACUGAAAAGAAAACGAAUGGAAUGGAGAUUACCGUUAAUGCCAUGCAAAAUGAUAUAAAUGCACCAAGCCAAACAGCAUUUAUAGGCACCUCCUGCUUGUUCACUUUGUGCCAAAGUGAUGAGAGUGGCAUGGCUCCAUCUCUUGAAAACGCAUAUGCCAUCCUGGAGUUGCUAGUAACUGAACUCAUCCCACAGAAAAAUAUGGCAAUAGCAACUACUCCUAAGCAAACAAUUCCACCAGUUCCACUUCCAUAUCUAUUCUUGAAUGCUUGAUAAAAUAUUUCAGCAAUGGCAUAACCACCAGCAUCGUUUUCUUCACUUAAGAGGUAAGGUAUGUCGGUAACAGCAAAGGUUAUUCCAAGAAUGUAAAACCAUCCAAAUAUAACAGAUAUCCCAAUGGCGCUGAUUAUUCCUUUAGGUCCAUUCUUAUCAGCACCCUUGGUUUCCUCUGUCAUAUGUGCAGAUGCAUCAUACCCAGUAAGGGUGUAUUGGCUCAUCAAAAGUCCAAGAACAAAUAUGUAGGGUUUACUAUUGAUUCCAUCCCCAUUAUUUGUGUUGAAAUAUGUGAAAACAAACUUGGCACUGGACCUCUCGGUCGCGACACAGGGUAUGAGAAUUGUAAGAACUACAACACCUAAAAGAUUCCAGGCAGCAGCCAGUUGUCCAAAGAAAGAUAGCAAUGAGAUGGGAAGACUAUUAAGAAUAGCAUGCAGGAGUAAAAUUCCCCCAUGCAUACCAAUGACUGCGUAUUUUGAUGCCUCAUACCCUCCACCAUUUUUUCCACCUGUGCUAAGAAGAAUGAUCACCUGAAUCAACUGUGCAAGUGAGAAAUCUAUACUGGUUGUAACAGCCCACUGCAAAUAAAAAUGUAUAUGAAAUGGUCAGCACAACAAGUCAUCUACAUCCUAAACAAGCUUGCCAGCCAGUACAUAUUGAAGACUAUCAAACUCCAGCAUUGACUCUCAGUUAUACCUGACCAACAAUGUUGAACCUGCAAGGAAACAGUCAAUUCACUUGGCAUUAGAACAUGUAUUGGGAAGACCAACUUCGGCGUCUCCACAGGCAAAAAGUGACCAGAUGUGUAAACUUUUUAUCCAAAUUCAACUUUUAUGCACAAGAAAUUGCAGGAGAUCAUAAGAACAUUUUACACAUAUUAUGUACUCAAAAGAAUACAAUGAGCCAGUUAAAUACAGUCAAUUCUUAAGUCAAUCUCUCCUGCAAAAUUUUUACAUUUAUAGAAGAACCAACUGACAUGCACAUGGAAUUUUAAUUCCAAUUUUUUCACAUUCAAGUGGAAGUUUCAGGAGUGCUGUGAAUAUGUGGCGUAAAAUAAACUUUAAAUUCUUCAUCAUUUACUGGUAUUUCAAUCACAUUAAGUUUGGUUGGAUCGCAAACCAGCAUUUUUUGCGUAUACUCUCUAUUUUUCUUGGUAGAUAAAACUUUUCAAGUUAUGAUCACUGUUUCAGCUCCCUUUCUAAUUUGAGGAGAUAAUCUGAUCACAAGGGUUGUACAUUAACAUGUAAUUUGAUCCCAAGAUUUUGUAGACCCCUACUAUAGGGGUCAAAACUUUUACAGGAAAAAGAAAGCAUACCCUGCUUUUCCAGUGUCAGAAAAUUUUGCUAGGUAAGUAUCAUACAAAGAACAUGUUGACAAGAAUCUUAGGCCCAAAUCAUUUUCAUGCCACACAUAUAUAAAUAUAUUUUGAAGUAUAAAUGCAUAAGCCUAAUGAAUCCACGAGUAAAUAACAAAACUGCUUUCAAAUUAUGAAGAAACAUUUUUGUUUUCUGAAAAGAAAAUGACGAGUUAAACAAAAGACACAGCUUUAAACCGUCCAAAUGAAUUGUAUUCAGAAAAUAAUGUAGUGAUGUGAUUAGUAUAUACAUAUCAAAUUACUAAACUGUGCCAGUAUUGUGAUUGACCAAAUCAAUCCAAAGAAUAAUAGAAAAACUUGAACUGCACUUUUUCAAAAAAACUUAAAACACAGAAAAAGAUAUGAAUCUUCUAGCAGUCGAUAAGGUGCAAAUAGCAGCAUAUGUAGUUCUCAUAGAUAUAAAUGCCAUCAAUUCAAAACUAUGCGCUAAUGGAAGAAGGAAGAGAACAAGCUAGGCCAUGGCCCAUGACCAAGGAGGCUUUUGAAGAUGUCCUGUAAACUCUAGUGAUAAAUGAAGUAUCAACUUCCUUUACAUUGCUGAUCCUAAGAACAUAACCUUUAAAUUACCUAACCUAAAGUGAAAUUGGUGAAUAGAACAGGAAGGUAAGGAAUGAAAGAAACAGAUCAUCAGAAACCAGAGAUUUGCAAACAAAUUGUCAAAUAUAAAGCCACAGAAGCAUAAGAUAUGUAAUGGAAUUUUGUACUACCAACAUAAAAAUUACAAUAAAAAAGAUUACCAGCCAGUUAACCAUGAGGCAAAGGGUGCCCAUCGAGGGCCAGCAAGCAUUGCACUCCAAUAGUAGAGACCCCCAGAGGUUGGGUAAGCGGAGCAAAUCUCAGCCAUUGCUAACCCAACAAUCAUGGUAAACCCACCAGCUAUAAACCACCCAUACUGCAAUGAAACUGGCCCGCCAAAACUCAAGCCAGUGUUAUACAAGGUGGUUAUGCCAGUCAGCACCGAUAUGAUCGAAAACGAAAAGGCAAAAUUGGAAAACACCCAGCCGGUCAGCCAUGAAGCAAAAGGCCCCCAUUUAUUGCCACACAGCCUGGCGCUCCAAAAGUAGAGACCACCAGAAGUAGGAUAAGCAGAGCAAAUCUCAGCCAUUGAUAAACCCACAACCAUGGUGAGCAAACCCACAAUUGGCCACCCGUAUACCAUAGUAACUGGCCCGCCAUAAGUUAGACCAGAACUGUACAACGUGGUGAGACCAGUGAUCACUGAUAUGAUCGAAAAUGUCACUGAAAAGUUUGCGAUUGCUGAGAGAGUACGGCUGAGUUCUUGCUUGUAACCGAGCUGUUGCAAUCGUAUAUUGUCGGAAUCAACGGCGUUGCCAUCUCCGAGAGGGAGGUAAAGGGCUGCAGCUUCCAUUUACUGAUAAAACAGAGAUUUGAAAUGAAACUCGUUCUCCAAGUCCAAGGCUUUAAAUAUCCUCGGCCUUUCGCAAGGUAGGCAUUUCGUUGGGAAAACUUCAUUUC